GUGAGUCAUCGAAUCUUUGAACGCACAUUGCGCCCGCCAGUAUUCUGGCGGGCAUGCCUGUUCGAGCGUCAUUUCAACCCUCAAGCCCCCGGGCUUGGUGUUGGGGCUCGGCCCGUCCCCCGUGGCGCGCCGUCCCCGAAAUCUAGUGGCGGUCUCGCGAUAGCCUCCUCUGCGUAGUAGCAAUAUCUCGCACUGGGACUGAGCAAGGCCACGCCGUUAAACCCCCCACUUCUGAAAGGUUGACCUCGGAUCAGGUAGGAAUACCCGCUGAACUUAAGCAUAUCAAUAAGCGGAGGA
rnacentral:misc_RNA from 1 species